AAAAUUUUUCAGGGGCCCCCAGCAACUCGGGGCCCGGGGCAAUUUGCCCCCUUUGCCCCCCCCCUCUGGGCGGCCCUGAUUAGAAAUAGUAAUUUGCUGUUGUUGCUCAAGAAGAAUAAAUUGAUAUUAUUGGAUUUAUUGUCGUCGAAAAGUUUGUAAGACUCAGAAGAAGUUAUUCCAAAUACAAGAAAGCCUCCUUGGCCAGCGCGUGUCGCUGUGUCUGGUCAAGGAGGGCAACGAGCGUAAACUGAUCAAGAUAACAACACACAUUUUUUGUUCGUUCUCACCCGCGAACGUAACACGCCAACGCAUUUUCCAAGUGCAUCACUUAAAACAGAGAAGCCUCUCGUUGCGUCAUAACUCUUAAAUAGUUCCGGGCCACAGAAUAA
rnacentral:lncRNA from 1 species